rnacentral:rRNA from 1 species
AUUGAACGCUGGCGGCAGGCCUAACACAUGCAAGUCGAGCGGUAGCACAGAGAGCUUGCUCUCGGGUGACGAGCGGCGGACGGGUGAGUAAUGUCUGGGAAACUGCCUGAUGGAGGGGGAUAACUACUGGAAACGGUAGCUAAUACCGCAUAACGUCGCAAGACCAAAGAGGGGGACCUUCGGGCCUCUUGGCAUCAGAUGUGCCCAGAUAGGAUUAGCUAGUAGGUGGGGUAACGGCUCACCUAGGCGACGAUCCCUAGCUGGUCUGAGAGGAUGACCAGCCACACUGGAACUGAGACACGGUCCAGACUCCUACGGGAGGCAGCAGUGGGGAAUAUUGCACAAUGGGCGCAAGCCUGAUGCAGCCAUGCCGCGUGUAUGAAGAAGGCCUUCGGGUUGUAAAGUACUUUCAGCGGGGAGGAAGGUGUUGUGGUUAAUAACCGCAGCAAUUGACGUUACCCGCAGAAGAAGCACCGGCUAACUCCGUGCCAGCAGCCGCCGUAACAC